rnacentral:rRNA from 1 species
AGAGUUUGAUCCUGGCUCAGGACGAACGCUGGCGGCGUGCCUAACACAUGCAAGUCGAACGGAGUUGAAAGGAGCUUGCUUUUUUCAACUCAGUGGCGGACGGGUGAGUAACGCGUGAGUAACCUGCCUUUCAGAGGGGGAUAACGUUCUGAAAAGAACGCUAAUACCGCAUAAGAUUGUAGUUUCGCAUGGAGCAGCAAUCAAAGGAGCAAUCCGCUGAAAGAUGGACUCGCGUCCGAUUAGAUAGUUGGCGGGGUAACGGCCCACCAAGUCGACGAUCGGUAGCCGGACUGAGAGGUUGAUCGGCCACAUUGGGACUGAGACACGGCCCAGACUCCUACGGGAGGCAGCAGUGGGGGAUAUUGCACAAUGGGGGAAACCCUGAUGCAGCAACGCCGCGUGAAGGAAGAAGGUUUUCGGAUUGUAAACUUCUGUCCUCAGGGAAGAUAAUGACGGUACCUGAGGAGGAAGCUCCGGCUAACUACGUGCCAGCAGCCGCGGUAAUACGUAGGGAGCAAGCGUUGUCCGGAUUUACUGGGUGUAAAGGGUGCGUAGGCGGAUUGGCAAGUCAGAAGUGAAAUCCAUGGGCUUAACCCAUGAACUGCUUUUGAAACUGUUAGUCUUGAGUGAAGUAGAGGUAGGCGGAAUUCCCGGUGUAGCGGUGAAAUGCGUAGAGAUCGGGAGGAACACCAGUGGCGAAGGCGGCCUACUGGGCUUUAACUGACGCUGAGGCACGAAAGUGUGGGUAGCAAACAGGAUUAGAUACCCUGGUAGUCCACACUGUAAACGAUGAUUACUAGGUGUUGGAGGAUUGACCCCUUCAGUGCCGCAGUU